rnacentral:tRNA from 1 species
GCGCCAAUAGUCUAGUCUGGUAGGACAUGACCUUCCCAAGGUUAAGGCACGGGUUCAAAUCCCGUUUGGCGCA